rnacentral:rRNA from 1 species
AGGUGCGAUCAUACCAGCACUAAUGCACCGGAUCCCAUCAGAACUCCGCAGUUAAUUGUGCUUGGGCGAGAGUAGUUCUAGGAUGGGUGACCUCCUGGGAAGUUCUUGUGUUGCACCUCUCC